rnacentral:rRNA from 1 species
AACGAACGCUGGCGGCAUGCCUAACACAUGCAAGUCGAACGAGACCUUCGGGUCUAGUGGCGCACGGGUGCGUAACGCGUGGGAACCUGCCCUUAGGUUCGGAAUAACUCCCUGAAAGGGGUGCUAAUACCGGAUAAUGUCUUCGGACCAAAGAUUUAUCGCCUUUGGAUGGGCCCGCGUUGGAUUAGCUAGUUGGUAGGGUAAAAGCCUACCAAGGCGACGAUCCAUAGCUGGUCUGAGAGGAUGAUCAGCCACACUGGGACUGAGGCACGGCCCAGACUCCUACGGGAGGCAGCAGUGGGAAAUAUUAGACCAUGGGCGAAAGCGUGGUCCAGCAGUGCCGAGUGAGUGAUGAAGGCCUUAGGGUUGUAAAGCUCUUUUACACGGGAUGAUAAUGACAGUACCGGGAGAAUAAGCUCCGGCUAACUCCGUG